ensembl:lncRNA
UGGGACUCGAACAUGAGUCUACAGAGCCUUAACCAACAGCCCUGACCGCUGCACCACCCAGACGCUUUCUAGUACAUGUUUGGAGGUUAUACUUGACUUUACCAUUCACAUGAUUGAGAAAUAAGAUGUAUCCAUUACCGUACCUCGUGAACCCUGGUUCUGAGCAGGCAGGGUACCUGAACCUACAGUGUCUGAAAGCUCAUCAUUCUUAAUAGCCGUGCGUGCGGGGACUCGACCCUGAGUCUACAGAGCGUUAACCGAGAGCCCUGACCGCUUCACCACCAAGACACUAACCAGAACAUGUUUGGAGGUUAUACUUGACUUUACCAUUCACAUGAUAGAGAAAUAAGAUAGGCUUCAAUUGAAGCACAUCAACGGGACUUGAAACCCGAUCUCAAGAGCAACCAUUCAUUCUGCUUCCCCACGGUGGCUGGGGGAUUGAUAUGAAUAUUAUAUAUGACAAUACAAUAGAAAUGAUAUCAUUAGAUUUCAAAGUAACAUUAUCGUUGAAGGGAAACAAAAAUCUUUAUGAAUUAAACCCAGGCCUCCUUC